rnacentral:rRNA from 1 species
AACGAACGCUGGCGGCAUGCCUAACACAUGCAAGUCGAACGAUGCCUUCGGGCAUAGUGGCGCACGGGUGCGUAACGCGUGGGAAUCUGCCUUUCGGUUCGGAAUAACUCAGGGAAACUUGAGCUAAUACCGGAUAACGUCGCAAGACCAAAGAUUUAUCGCCGAAAGAUGAGCCCGCGUAGGAUUAGCUAGUUGGUGAGGUAAAGGCUCACCAAGGCGACGAUCCUUAGCUGGUCUGAGAGGAUGAUCAGCCACACUGGGACUGAGACACGGCCCAGACUCCUACGGGAGGCAGCAGUGGGGAAUAUUGGACAAUGGGCGAAAGCCUGAUCCAGCAAUGCCGCGUGAGUGAUGAAGGCCUUAGGGUUGUAAAGCUCUUUUACCCGGGAAGAUAAUGACGGUACCGGGAGAAUAAGCCCCGGCUAACUCCGUG